GCUGUGGUAGCCAAGGUGGUCACGGCGGGGGGCUGAAGAACCUCAGAUGUCAGUUCGAUUCUGACCCACAGCACAA
rnacentral:tRNA from 1 species